CCAUAAAAACCCCGCCUCCGGGCCCCGCCCCCACCGCGCCCGGAUCACCGCCCCCGGUUGUCCGCCCCCGCCCAGCCCAGCCGCUGCUAGGCAACCGCCAGGCCCGCUCCCGUGCCGUUUUUCCUAUUGGUAGAUUUCGGAGGCGGGGGCGAAGGGCGGAGCUAGAGGCGGGACUUCGAGGCUAGCUGCGAGCGGUGAUUGGCCGGUCGCUGGGAGGCGGAGGCGCUGCGCGCUCUGAGGCCCUAGAGCUGCCUGAGGGGGUCGGAGCGACAGCAGGCCUGGGGGCGGGAAGCGGGGGCGGGGUGGCGCAGGAAGAGCUAGCGCGGGGUGUGGGCGGUGCGGGUGGCACCGGCGCGAGCGCGCGUGGAGGUGGCACUCGGGAGGCAGCGAUCGGGGUUGAAGGCCCUCAAGGGUCCCUCAGGAGUGCGCGACUGGAGCCGGUGGCUCCCGCGCUAUUGCAGGUGAGUCGGCGUGGAGUGCGUCGACCCUGGACGGUCUUCCGGAAGGGAGGACACCCGGGGCCGGAGUAGGUGGAGACGAGGGAAGGUGCUCAACUCUAGAGGGAGGACCCUGAACACUGGAGGCAAGAUCGGGACAGGGUGGGCCCUGGAGCGGGUGGUUGUGGUGGACAGGUGAUGGGUGGAGGGUGGGAGCCAACAGUUGGGUCUGGGAUUCCGGGAAGAGGACCCAGGAGAGGGGCAAGCGGGACGUGGAACGAAUCCUAGCGGGUGGUAUAGUAGGGGAUUGGGGCGGGAACCGGAGUUGGGUGGUAAGCUCCGGGGGAGGAGCCUCCCAACACAGCUUUGAAUUGCCCAGUGGCUGAUGCUUUAAGGAAGGUAAGGCUUGGCUGAGAAAACUGACCAGGUUGGCACACGGGGUUCCAGCACGGUUCCUUUGGAGAAAUAUUUACAUAAAUUAGGCGAACAGAGAGGAAUUAUUUGCUUUACAUUGUAAAACACCAGAGCUGAAUGUUUCCUUUUAAUUAAGCAUAACACUCCAGCAUCCAUUUCCUGGGCAGCUGGUUACGCCACUCCAACAACCCAGAGGACACAAAUCCACGGAGCGGCUGUCAGGCCUCAGACAUCAGGAGGACUCGGACGGCCCCUAUUCACUUUGCUACGUGUGUAAAGGACAAGGAAAGGUUUAGAAAACACAGGACAGAGAUUUGGUUUCCUGUUCCUUCAGCCAGCCGCUCCAGUGUGCUUUUUCCUUGUUGUCUACGUCACUUCAGUGUACAACCCUGUGUAUCUAUUUUCUUGGGUUCUUUUUGUUGUAAGUGACAGAAAGCCAGCUUAAACUGCCUGUCCAUUAAGGACCUCACAAAUACUGCUCACUGCAACUGGUUGUCACAGCUGCCCCUCCGUCUCCCUCCAGUAGAGUACCUACCCAGCCACACAUUGACCCCCUCACUGACCAGGAAACCAACAGGGAGCUGUGCACAGGGGUAGAGGCAGCCCCUCCACGCUUGCCCCAGGUCAACGCCAUAGAACUAGACGUGGAGGCUGGCAGCAAACACUGGAGGUCUGUCUGGAAAAGGGUGUAGAAACUCCCCCAGAAAAGUUCCCAAGGCCUGAACCACUCCCCUUUUCACAACAUCCCAAGGCUGGUUCCUGGGCCUGCCUACCUACAAUCACCCCGUUGACACACUCAUGUGGGUGGCCGGCUCAAACCUGUCCACAUCCCAGGAGGCUGGCCAGCUGCAGCAGGAGCCCACCCGGGGAAGAGGGUGUCAGGACACUUGAGUGACAGCGUCUCUCCAUCCUGCCUGCAGUUCAGGGCUCUGUGACAAAUGGCUAUCAUGACAGGACUUCCUCGGGUGGAAAGGGGACAGGAGAGAGAUGGGACCUGUGUCCCCUUCAGCUCUCUACUGGGGGUGACCGCAGCCUGAGUACAGAUUUCAUCAUGGAAGCUUUUCUGACCCAGGAAACAGCUCCUUUAAUAGUAGGGGGCACCAGUGGUCAGAGAUCAGGUUGCUCAGUGGACACAUUGUAAGCUGGACAAUCACAGAUCAGCAAGUAGAUUAGGAGGCCACUCUUUCCCUGCCUCCUUUUUAUCCAAAGCCCAUUACAAACUCAUCAUACUCCUUUUCCCCUUACAUUGGUGGCUGAGGAGUCUGCUUACUCUUCUAAAAGUUCAGCCAAGCAGCUAGGAAAUAGUGGCCCCUGUGUGAGCUUGCACCCCCUUCUGUCCAUCGAUGUGGAGGAAGCCAUCGUCGUCCGGCUCCUCCUGCAUCUUCCCAGGAAGAACGGUGAGAGGAGUCACCCAGGGUGAUGACUGCCAGCCAGCACACCCUCCCAGACCUUCCAACACACCCCUGCUUUUCUUAUAGGGUGCGGGUGCCGAGGUGGGAGCAGGGCUCGCUAGUCCAAGUUCCGGGGGGGGGGGGGAGCAGGUCUCAAUGAGUGAGCGGCUCUGAGAGAAGUCACUGGAGGCAGAGACAGACCAUUGUCCAUAUGUUCAUAUGUUGCUGGCUUUCCCACUCCGUUCUCCCCGAGUGGAGUUCUGCAGCCACCCCAGCCAUAAACCCAUGUGUCCGCUUCCCUGAGCACCAGCCUCUCUUUCUCCACACAAGCACGCUGAGCACAGGUCCAAGGCUGUGCUCAGGAACAGCCCCUGACCUACAGCACUGCGGGUCAUGGUUCAUGGUGGGCAUCUCUGGAGACGGACUGGGGGUGGGGAGCACCAGUGUGUAUGUCUCCAAGAGCUUAUUUUUAGUUGAGUUAUAUAAGUGGUUUCAUCUCGGCGUCAUGUAGGAAGGGGUGGGGGGGGUCUCAGAUUUAAUUACAGGAUGACAGCCUUGCAUUUCAAGCAAGCUGUUCUCCUGGCAAGACAGGCUCACGGAUGGAUUGGGAGCCUGUGCUCAGCAGAGGCUGCCCUUCGGGAGGUGACGCCCCCCCCCAAGGCAAACUGUCACCCCACCUUCACCUCCAUCCUUAGCCACUUUGCUGAGCUUGCCUUGGCGGGGAGCCACUUGUCUAAGAUCUCAGAGAUGGUGGGAGACCCACCCCACCCCCACCUCCACCUGGCAGCUUUCCUUCUGUCCUAGGGAAGAGUCUCCCAAUCAGAACUCUCCUGUUUCCAUUCCUGGGCUGAAGCUUUUCUAAUGGGUAGCCAGAAAGUUCUAGAGUAGAAGAGACAGAAACGCAGGAGCUCGGGAAAAGCCUCCCUUUUUUCCCUCCACACCCAUGUUGCUCAUGCCGCAUGGCCUGGGACUGGGCCAGGCCUGAGGGCAGAAGUGUUCUUGUAUGUGGGGGGCAUGGCUCUGGUUUCAGGAGAGUCUUAACGGUUGGCCAUUGCGGUGGCUAGAACUUUAGCAGGAAGUCUAUUUCAAUUGCCGACAGCCACUUGAGUUUCAAGGCAUAGCCUGCCACAGUGGAGGGGGAACAGGUUGAGACCUGACCAUGACAGGAUCAGGGUGCAGUGUGAGGAGAGGGCCCAGGUUUAAGGCGCCUGUUCCUUAACCAGUCAGCUUGCAUAGGUGGGACAGACAGGGCUGCAGCUCCUGGGCAGGUCCCUAGUCUCCCGGAGCUCCCAAAGCAGAGAUUAGGGUUCUGUGAAGUGCUGGGAGGAGCCAGGGAACGAAGAGUCAUGUGGGAGUCACCGUGCUUUAGUGCUUUAGCUAUCGGCUGGUACUGCCUAAACAGAGUGCCUGCCCUCUCUCUCCCCAGUUUUCUCUCCCAAGCCCAGCAGGGACAGUACAGUAGACACCCCACCACCACCUAGAGUGCUCUGCAUGCCGCCAUGUCCCCAUCCCGACUGAGGGCAGGGACAGUAGCCCAGAGGAGCCAGAGGAGACAGGAAGACUGAAAGCCCCCUGAAAUCCCUCUGGGUUCCGGACAGAAAGAGGACACUAGGUAGAAUCUGGAGAAUUCUGAGUGAACUGUGGACUUUUAGUUAAUGAUCUGUCAGCACUGGCUCCUGAAUUGUGGUCAAUGUCUCACCAAGGCAACAGGCUAACAGCAGGGGCUGGGGUGGGCCCAGGGGAUGACACCCUCAGACAAAGAAGAGAAAGAAAAGGACAUGGAGUGUCUUUGCUCCAAAUGAGGAAAUGUGGAGCAAAGGAGCUUGCGGGGGGGGGGGGGGGGGGUGCGGCGGGCUGCAGGUCAGAGGGUGCUGGGAGCUGGCCCUACCUAGCUGGGCCUGUGCUGAUGCCUGUAGAGCUGAGGUCUAGGGAGCAGGUCCGCUCCCCUGCUAUCCCAGAUGUGGGCGCUUCCCUUCUUCCUCACAGACUGCACCUCAGGUUUACUCUUAGCCUGACAUGGUUCGGAGCUUGCUCUUCCAUGGCCGCCACCAUGUGGGCCCUACUUGCUGCUGUGGGGAACAGAUCAGCCCUGGCCACUUCUGGUGCCUUCUGUUCCCUCUCAAACAUACAGUGUGACUGAAAGGAAAGGUGGUCACUCUCUUGGUGGGGAUGCCCACCUGGUGGGCUCAGCUGGAGGAUGCGUGAACGCGGCUGGUGGCUUUCCAGAGUGUCAACUGGCCCCGCCUCUGUCCUCUUAGUCACAGGGUCUUUUAGGUCCCUUUUAGUCCCAUUCCAGCUCUGGCCUCCCUCCAGGCAGGCCCAGGAAGACAGAGCCUGCUGAGGGUAAAGGUGUGGGAGAUGUGACCUCCCCGAGCUGCCCUGCCGCCCUGGUAUAGGGGGUUAGCCUCCCCAGGAACCACCCCCCCUUAUGUAAUCUGCACAUCACACAGGCGUGACUCCAGGUGCCCGUGGGAGGUAGUAACGCGGGGGUGAGCUCAGGGGCGCAAACAAGCCUCCAAGUUUCCUUGGGUGCCUCUCCUCUUGUUACAUUUCAGCGUCAUCCCGCGUCUGCCAGCUCGGUCACCCACUUGCCUAUUAGAAUAUAUUAACUGACAAUGCAGACUUAAAUAACUUGGGCAGGUGACAGGCUGCAGUGAGGAGCCCUCUGCACCGAACCCUUCCGCAGCAGGCCAAGUGAGUUCAGAGGAGGUGUUUUGGUGGGCAGGGACGGGCAGGGUGCAGCCUGCAGUCUGAGCACACCCAACACCAAGUCUGAAGCGUUGAGAUACGGGUGCCCGUGGCAACAAGGGAAGCCCACCCCAUGGCAGGCACACCCAUGCCUUCUGUACACACCCAGCUGGAGGUAGGAUUGUGCCGUAAGUGAAUAAGAAAACUGAACAGUGGUAUUAUCUGUCAUCAGAGCAUGGCUGGUCUGUGAUGACAGCUCUAGCCGCAGCAGCAGCAGCCUAGGCACGGGCAGUCUCUGCUAGGCUCCCUUGCUCUGUAGAGUACCUUCCUGUAGACCCGGGUGGUCACUCAGCUUCCCGGGGCGGGGGUGGCGGGGGUGGGGGAGAUAAAAACCAACCCUUGCUUCCUGCUCACUCUGCAUACUCCCCUCCCCACUUUGCUCUCUUAUCGCUCUGCCUCUUAAACUAAGUUGCCUCGAAGGUGUCUAAAGGUGUUUUUCAGGUUACAGCAAAGGAGAUAGUCUUCCAGACUCUGGAGUCAAAAGACACCCAGCCCUGAGCCCUGGUGUGCUCCACCGGGUCCGUCCCCACCACACCCCCAUCCCCAGCUGGUCCUGCCGGAGUGAGAAGCCCAGACAUGUACUGCUUCACAUGCUCACAGAUGGCUUCCCUGCUCAGGGCUGGCUGCUGCUAAUUUUGGCUGCUGGAGGCUCCGUGUGCGCUCUCUCUUUUUUUAAUUCCAUGUUUAUUUAAAGCCAGAUUUUGAAAUCUUGUCUUCAACUCUGAAAUCUGAAAUUGUCUUGCUGCAGAUCUUACCCCUAACCACCAUCCCCCCACGCUCCCCCCCCCACACACACAUAUUGCACAAAGUUUAGGGAGUUUUGAUGAACAACUGGCCAGGGUCUCUUUACAGCAAUCCUGUCGUGUCAGCACAGAGGACAGGAGGUACCCUACCUCACCCCUCCAACCCCCGUUCAUGCCUGGUGUUUCCAUGUAAAUGGGGAUGCUGUGCAGAGAGUCUGAUUAGAGGCUACCCUGCUUGGUGCUGCAGGAGGAGCGGACCCGGACAGGACUGGCUCAUUGAUCUCAGUCCUGUAACGGGACCUGGUGUGGCCCAGGUAUCUAGGACCCUAGUGCCAAUCCCCCAACUGGCUCCUCUUACCCAUGAAAGCCUUAGAGGCUCUUCCUGCUCUCUGGGGAAUCAAGUCCACCUAGAGGGGACCUUCCUGGCUUAGGAGAAAAUGUAUGUCCAGCUUGCUGGUAUGUUGACACAACACUGGGCUGCUCUCAGGACACACACAGUGGAACUCUGUCCUCUCACUCUGGGACCCAGAAGAGUCGCUGGCAUGGUGAGUGCUCCAGAGGCACCAGGGCUACACCCCCAUUGCAUGACAUGCAGCUGCCCACCUGCCCUUCUGCCCUCCCACAGCUGCUCUGGGAUGUGCUAGAAGGACUUUGGUGAAGAAUGACCUCGAGGGAGCUGGUCAGGAGCUGAGGUAUAACCGGUUCCAGGAGGAAUGCCUGCACCCGGAAGCAGUGGGGCGGACCUAAGGCACCAACUGGGUUCCCACACCAACCUCUGCCUCUUCCCCACCAGGCCGAGAAAAGGAAGGGUGCCACUUCCACCCUGAGCCAUCUGCAAACCCUGCCAGGCAGGGCCUUUCUAACAUGGAGAGUGUGAAGGGCUGGGACGGUGUUCCUGGCACCUCUGGUCAGACAGGAAGGUGGCUGUGAGAAAAACGAGUGGAGUGUUAAGCUUUGGAAUGUCAUUUCUCCAGCAAGCUCACUUCUCUCAAGGUUGAGAGACAGAGAUCUUUGUAGAGAAGUGUAGAAAACUAGCUGUCCCCCCUGUCCCUGCCAGGAAACUAUGACUCUAAAAGAAUAUGCGAGACAUUUCACCCCCUGUCCAACCAAAGGUCGGCUGAACAGCCUUUCCAAAUGUCACACUGCAACCGCUGCUGGCAGGAAAUCGGGGCUGCCAAAGUGCCCCAGGAUCUGCUGUUGACUCUUACUUCAAGCUGGAGGGUUUGGGGUUUUUGUUUGUUUGUUUGUUUUAUUUUGUUUUCCUGCAGGAGCUAACAAAAUUCUUAAUGCACAGCCUGAGGAGUUGGCUUUCUGAGCCUUGGAGCUGGUGGUGCAGGACUCUGUGUUGUUUUUCCUGCCUUCCUGGGCUCCAAGAGGCCCCAAAGAGAAAGCCCCAUGCUCAGGAUCCAAGGUCAGACGCUUAGGUAGAACAGUUAGGGGACAUUGGAAUUAAACCAUGGUACCUGACAGUUUCCUCAGACAGGCCGUGGGUCAGGUAUCCGCAUCCACUGUUGCUGUUAACCUGGGAGCAGAUGGAGCAGAGCCCACCCAGCUCCUGGCUCCUGGGCAUCCAGCUUGGCUGCUUUUCCCCAGGGCCGCCCUCGUGCUUUGGGUUUUACAAUAGACUGCCACUUCUGGGGCGCUUGCCUAGCAGGGGGCUGGAGGACUCCCUGAAUGCAGCUCCCUCAUCUCGAGGGUUCCCUUCACUGCCCCCUGGUGGAACGUCGACGAAAGGAGACCUGCCGCAGGGCAGGUAAGCGUCGCCAGCUGAGGUGGAAGUGGGACCAGCGGGAGGCUGCGGGCCAGCAGGGGGAGUGCACGGUUCGCGAGACCAGGCUGUACCUAGGAAGGGAGGGGCCCAGCAAUCACAGACUCUUGCCUUGCCCUGUCUCCAGCGGGAAGAAUAAGAUCCUCCCUUCAGGUAGAGGGAGGAAGAGGAGGCAGACAGCUGCUGCAGUGGGCUCUGCUGGAGCCUUUAGAGGGGACGUGAGGGCCGGCCGUACAUUCGCCUGUAAGGCUAUGUACUAUCAACUUCUAGGUCAUUCUUUUCUCUUUUUCCCCUGGGUGUUGUUGCUGUUUUGGAUUUUGGUUAGUUGGUUGCUCCUCUGUUCUUGAGAGAGGCUCUCAUGUAGCCCAGACUGGCCUCAAACUUCAGGACGCUGAGAGGCAUAGACCAACACUCUCCGGCUGAACCACAUGCACAGCCCAGAACUGAUCUUUGCGGUAACCCUUGUACUUGCAAGGAUCUGGCUGCCAUUUUACCCUCUCUUUGGGGGACCCGCGAGGUUGCCGGCUCCCUUAGAUCCUCCUGGACCCACCUUUCCCCCGGUUAUUUUACACCGUAGCCUGUCUGGUGAACACGCAACACGGGAGCUACCGAUUUUAGUUCUGGUUUCCCUGGUGGCUGAUGAGGAGCCUGUCAUCCCCUUCUUUCCUGGGUCCCUGUUGUCGAUGACAAUGACGAUGAUGACAACGAUUUUACCCCACUGAGAACUUCACAUGUGAACGCUGCACAUACAUGACUCCUAAUGCAUGUUCCUCCCAACUCUACCCACACCCCUCACAUCUGUGAUCUUUAGUUACUAUUGUCACAUCUGUUUAAUGUGUGUAUGAACACAUGUGCGCACACACACAAAUAACCCACGAGUUCAUUCUGCUUCGAUUCUAUGUACAUAAGUCCCCGCCGGCCACUUGGAACUGGACAAGAGCCUCCUCUUUUUCAAAAGGAGCCACAGCCUCUACUCCAGUGAGCUAUGUGGGAGGGAGCCUGCAGGUGCCUGGAGACAACCAGCUUGCACCUGGCUGCAGCUCACAGUCUCCACUCUUGACGAAGCGAGACAGAUGCCCACUGACGCAGACACGUGACAGAUCUGAGUCACCAUCUGUGGGUUGUGGCUCCUCACCAGCCCGGCUUGCAGCCUUUAAGUUUGCCACAGUCUGGCCUCGGGCCGAGUCUCCAUCAUCACCUCGGCCGUUUUCCCUGCUGUCUCCUCUCCUUAAGCAGAAACAUGAUGCGAAUGGGUUCCAGAUCUGUACCUGCUGUCACCCCUGCACACACUCCCAGAGCUGAUAUCACAGGUUAGAUCCCGGUGGUACCAGGCCAGAGGCCCCCACACUUCCACCUGUUGGCCACUACAGGGCUUUGCAAAUAAAGUUUUGUUGUUAUUGUUGUUUUAA